rnacentral:misc_RNA from 1 species
CAUAUCCGCGAGGUCUGUGUCUUGACCGCUCCAUUCUUCGCCUCCAACACGACCAUUGUUGCCUAUUUCUUUGGUAAAGAGAUUUGGGACUCUGGUGCUGGCCUUGUUGCUGCAGCUUUGAUUGCUAUAUGUCCUGGCUAUAUUUCUAGAUCCGUCGCUGGGUCUUAUGAUAAUGAGGGAGUUGCCAUUUUUGCUCUCUUGUUGACCUUUUACUUGUUUGUUAAGGCAGUGAACACAGGCUCACUUGCUUGGGCAUUAGCUUCGGCUUUCGGAUAUUUCUACAUGGUGUCAGCGUGGGGAGGUUAUGUGUUUAUCAUUAAUUUGAUCCCUCUUUAUGUCAUGGUGCUAUUGAUUACUGGGAGAUACUCGCUGAGGUUGUAUGUUGCUUAUAAUUGUAUGUAUGUGUUGGGGAUGCUGCUUGCUAUGCAGAUACGGUUUGUUGGUUUCCAGCAUGUGCAAUCUGGAGAGCAUAUGGCUGCAAUGGGCGUUUUCUUCUUGAUGCAGGUAUUUUAUUUCUUGGAUUGGGUUAAAUACUUGCUGAAUGAUGCAAAAUUAUUUCAAGCGUUUUUGAGGAUCACAGUGACCUUCACAGUUGGUGUUGGCGCUAUUGCUUUAGGAGUUGGCACAGCAUC